GCCCAAAAUCAAGCCUAUAAUCAGCUCAUGUGUUAUAAAAUUAACAAACGUUAAAUAAAACAUUUUUACACUCUAGUAGAGGCGAUCAAAACAUUUAUAAGCGCUUUAUACAUAGUACCGCAAGGGAAUGAUGAAAUAGAUUUGAAACAGCCCUAAAGCAUAAAAUAGUAGAGAUUUUAUCUCGUACCUUUUGCAUCAUGGUUUAGCCAGUCCACAUCAAGCAAAACGAAAUAUUAGUUUGACCUCCCGAAACUAAGCGAGCUACUUCAAAACAGCUUUAUAGAGCCAACCCGUCUCUGUCGCAAAAGAGUGGGAUGAUUUUUAAGUAGUGGUGAAAAACCUACCGAGCUUAGAAAUAGCUGGUUAUUCAGGAAAAGAAUCUUAGUUCUACCUUAAGUUUUUACUUUAAUCUAAACAAUCUACUAAACUUAAGAGCUAUUCAAAUAAGGCACAGCUUAUUUGAAACAGGAAACAACCUUCAACAGAGGGUAAAAAUAUUCUUCUUAACCAAGUGGGCCUAAAAGCAGCCACCUUUAAAAAAGCGUUAAAGCUUUAUUACUCAACCUUCAUUCAAUACCCCCACAUAUUUUAAACCCCUCAUCUAUACUGAAUGGUCCCAUAAACUAUGGGAGUCACCAUGCUAAAACUAGUAACAAGAAAUUGAUUUUCUCCAAAAUAUAAGCAUAAACCAAAAUGGACUCCCCAUUGGUAAUUAGCGUCAAUGAGCCCAAUAUAGCAACAUAUCAAGAAAACCCUAUAUCUCCUAACGUUAACCUCACACAAGAAUAUUACCGGAAAGAUUAAAAGAGGGAAAAGGAACUCGGCAAAUCUUAACCCCGCCUGUUUACCAAAAACAUCGCCUCUUGACAAGUUAUAAGAGGUCUAGCCUGCCCAGUGACAUAGUUAAACGGCCGCGGUACCCUGACCGUGCGAAGGUAGCAUAAUCACUUGUUCUUUAAAUAAGGACUAGUAUCAACGGCAUCACGAGGGUUACACUGUCUCCUCCCUCCAAUCAGUGAAACUAAUCUCCCCGUGAAGAAGCGGGGAUAAGAAUAUAAGACGAGAAGACCCCAUGGAGCUUUAAACCCAACAACAACCUCUAUAUACAAACCCCCUAAUAAUUACAGAAGUCCUGCCUGUUGGUUUUAGGUUGGGGUGACCGCGGAGCAAAACUAAACCUCCACGACGAACGGGAUUAACCCCUAAUCCAAGAGCCGCCGCUCUAAGAAUCAAUAUAUUGACGUAAAAUGAUCCGACAAUCGAUCAACGAACCAAGUUACCCUGGGGAUAACAGCGCAAUCCAUUUCAAGAGCCCCUAUCGACAAAUGGGUUUACGACCUCGAUGUUGGAUCAGGGUAUCCCAGUGGUGCAGCCGCUACUAAAGGUUUGUUUGUUCAACAAUUAAAACCCUACGUGAUCUGAGUUCAGACCGGAGUAAUCCAGGUCGGUUUCUAUCUAUAAAAUGUUAUUCUCAGUACGAAAGGAUCAGAAUGACGUGGCCAAUAUUCCUACAUGCCACAACCCUUAACCAAUGAACUAAUCUCAAUUCGUAAAGGCCUACUAAUAUAUCUUAGACCAAGACA
rnacentral:rRNA from 1 species